GUCCCUUCGGGGACAUCCCACAAAAUUGGAACGAUAUGCGAUUAGCAUGGCCCCUGCGUAAGGAGAAAUGACAUUUUUUUUCUGAAAAAAGAAGGUAAUAUAG